UAAGGAAGUUGAGGCCCGAGGAG
rnacentral:misc_RNA from 1 species